CUCUCCUGACUCAAAGCUGAAAGACCUGGAGCUCAGAGGCAACAGCCUGCAGGAGUCAGGAGUGAGAGCGCUCUCUGCUGGACUGGAGGACCCACACUGUAAAUUACAGAGACUGGGGACCAGGACCAGGACCCACCUUUGAAUUUGGUCUCUCUCAGCACUCAGGGAGGAUCUUGGCAGCAACCUAUUCUGAGCAAACAAACCAGCCCCAGACCCACCUGACCAUGGAGCACUCCCAGAACAGAUGAUUUACGUGUCCUUCAGCGCUCUGUAUGUGUAUGGGGGUUCCCAGCUGUAUCUAGCACACACAUCGUUCUCAGGAAGGGAGUGGCAUAGUACCUAGUGAAGGUAAUUGGUAAAUGGUUGGCAUUUAUAUAGCGCCUUUAUCCAAAGCGCUGUACAAUUCAUGCUUCUCAUUCACCCAUUCAUACACACACUCACACACCGACGGCAAUUGGCUGCCAUGCAAGGAGCCGACCAGCUCGUCAGGAGCAUUUUGGGGUUAGGUGUCUUGCUCAAGGACACUUCGACACAGCCCAGGCGGGGGAUCGAGCCGGCAACCCUCCGACUGCCAGACGACUGCUCUUACUGCCUGAGCCAUGUCGCCCCUUGAGAAGGUACCAGAGGCCUUCUCAACCUUGUGGACAUUCUGGGCCAGUGUGGCCAGACCCUGCGCCAGAAUGAUCUUAACCAUGUCUGGGACCCCCCGGCCCCCGUUCUUUUCCUCCUUCAUAGGAAAAAUUCACAGAACAAGGUGUUCUAUCUCCAUUUUAUGACAGAUCAAUCACAAGUGAAAAUCAGAUUAAACCGUCAAACUGUCAGAGUUGAGCAAGCUGGUUCCUCCAAAACUCUCAAAAGCUUCAUGUCAAAAGUAUACCAAUAUGUAUGCAGCCUAUUACUCAUGUAAUCAAUAUGUAUGCUGCCUAUUACCCAUGUAAUCAAUAUGUAUGCUGCCUAUUACUCAUGUAAUCAAUAUGUAAUCCAGUGAACCUAUAUAAUUAAUUACGGAUGAGCUAAUGGAAACGCAAGAAACCACAGUGUCAACUGUAGAAGAAAAAGCAAAAGAAUGCGCCUGGCUGAAAAACCACACUUACUUAGAAGAGAACAUUAAUCAAAUAUUAAUCAAGUAUGCCUGUAUAUUUUUUAAACUGAUAAAGUGCUUUGUGCUAGAAGUACACAGUGACCCAUAUGUAACCUGAGUUGAAUACAAUAAUGUGUAUGCUUAAAAGGAAAAUUGGAAAGUACAGAAUAGCACCAUGUUUUGCAUGAAUUCAUCUUUUAUGAUUCCUCUGUGUUAAAAAGCAGUUUGUGGGACGGGGGCGACUUGAACAGCUUGCAGGACAAGGAGUCUUGCUUUGUAGGCUGUCUUUGCCAAAAUAGUUUGCGGGGCAGGGUGACCUGACCAGCUUGCAGGGCGGGAUGUCUUUCUUUGAAGACUGUCAUUUUCAAGGACAGUUUACGGAACAAGAUGUGAUAAGAACAUUUAUUUUUAAAAACGGCAUACAAAGCAAAAAUGUGGGCCUGCGCAUUGAGGCACCACAGAGACCACCUGGUGUUUUUAGGAAUGUUUUGAGAGGAGUUACGUUGAAAGAAGUGUAUGAAAUGUGUAUGAAACUAACAAUUGAGGUUCAGUUCUGCAGAAUUGAUCCGGCAUUGUGCACUUAUGCUAAUAAAGUCUGAUUUUCCUAAA